rnacentral:rRNA from 1 species
GAUGAACGCUGGCUACAGGCUUAACACAUGCAAGUCGAGGGGAAACGACGGGGAAGCUUGCUUCCCCGGGCGUCGACCGGCGCACGGGUGAGUAACGCGUAUCCAACCUGCCUCUGACUGAGGGAUAACCCGUCGAAAGUCGGCCUAAUACCUCAUGGCAUCGUCUGCGGGCAUCCAACGACGAUUAAAGAUUUCAUCGGUCAGGGAUGGGGAUGCGUCUGAUUAGCUAGUUGGCGGGGUAACGGCCCACCAAGGCGACGAUCAGUAGGGGUUCUGAGAGGAAGGUCCCCCACAUUGGAACUGGGACACGGGCCAAACUCCUACGGGAGGCAGCAGUGAGGAAUAUUGGUCAAUGGGCGAGAGCCUGAACCAGCCAAGUAGCGUGCAGGAUGACGGCCCUAUGGGUUGUAAACUGCUUUUAGGCGGGGAUAAAGUGAGGGACGUGUCCUUCAUUGCAGGUACCGCAUGAAUAAGGACCGGCUAAUUCCGUG